GGGAAAGAUGAAAAGCACUUUGGAAAGAGAGUUAAACAGUACGUGAAAUUGCUGAAAGGGAAACGCUUGAAGUCAGUCGCGUUGGCCAGGACUCAGCCUUGCUUUUUGGCUUGGUGCAUUUUCUGGUUGACGGGCCAGCAUCGAUUUUGACUGUCGGAAAAAGGCUGGGGGAAUGUGGCACCUUCGGGUGUGUUAUAGCUCUCAGUCACAUACGGCAGUUGGGAUCGAGGACCGCAGCACGCCUUUAUGGCCGGGGUUCGCCCACGUUCGUGCUUAGGAUGCUGGCGUAAUGG
rnacentral:rRNA from 1 species